AACAAACGACAUGUACAUCAGAGAAGGUGGCAGUGACAGACAAUAAAGGAAAACAAUAAAGGCAAACAUGAGAAAACGGCGUUGUGUUCACUCCCACGACAGCUUCCUUGCGCUGACCAGCCGGCAGGACGGGAAGGGAGGGAGAAGCCCUCAGUGUGACCUGUGCACGAGGAGGUGUAAGAUAUGCUGUACACAUGGAAAAACUCAUGACACUUUCACGGUGUUCUCUUCGUAUGCUCUUGCGGGCCCCACCAGCACCACUCGCCAACAUGCCCUGGUUAGUGGCACUGACUUGCUUUUACUAUUAUACGACCACAUACAACUACCCUUCAUGGACGGCCUGUCAAGUCACGGCGCCAUCGUGUCUGCGAACCUAUACAAGCAUGGGGCAAAACCAGUGCCACGGGGCUCUUUGAGGUGGUGUGGUGGGCCCGCGAAGACAUGGAAGUGACAUGAACGAUGCGUGGAAAAGGCACAGAAAGAAGCAUGGUAGAAGUACUGCGGAGACCGACGGAGACACUGUAGAGGAGGCAAAGGCAUACAUACCUCUCCCAAAGGACGAAGCCUUGGUCGUUGAUGGUGGGGAGGGUGUGCUGGGGGUUCAGCCGCACGAACCACGGUCGCUUGUUCUCCGCCUUCAUGAGGUCCACUUGCUUGUCCUCAUACUCGACCUUCAGCAUCUUCAGGGUCAUCCAGACGGCGCGGCAGGGGGCGCUGCCCUUGUAGUAG